rnacentral:rRNA from 1 species
AUACGUAGGGGGCGAGCGUUGUCCGGAAUGAUUGGGCGUAAAGGGCGCGUAGGCGGCGCGGUAAGUCUGGAGUGAAAGUCCUGCUUUCAAGGUGGGAAUUGCUUUGGAUACUGCCGCGCUUGAGUGCAGGAGAGGUUAUCGGAAUUCCCGGUGUAGCGGUGAAAUGCGUAGAGAUCGGGAGGAACACCAGUGGCGAAGGCGGGUAACUGGACUGCAACUGACGCUGAGGCGCGAAAGUGUGGGGAGCAAACAGGGUUAGAUACCCUGGUAGUCCACACUGUAAACGAUGAAUGCUAGGUGUAAGAGGUAUCGACCCCUUUUGUGCCGGAGUCAACACAAUAAGCAUUCCGCCUGGGGAGUACGGCCGCAAGGUUGAAACUCAAAGGAAUUGACGGGG